CUGAUACCGGAGGCAGUUCCCUACCAGCAGCCAAGGAAGAAGGAGAAGCCUGAGGCAGGAGCAACGUCUGACACUGCUGCGGGAUGAAGAACCCUGCUCACCUGCUUGUUUCCCAAAUCUUCAGCUUCUCUCCCUCAUCCAUCUUUUGCAAACUGUCUUGACCUGAACUCCUCUUGCCUCAGCCCUGGAUUGUAUAGUGGAAGAGUAGAGGCGCAUACUUACGUGCACACACUCUGAGAUGGAAGUGACGCAAAUGCAGCUGCCUUGGAACAGAGUUCAAUGUGAUGAUGUGAAGAUCUGGUGAUACUGUCAAAUCAUGCUCGGGGUGAUGCAUUCUAAAGUGCUGUGAAUGUACUUUCUUUCAUCUGCCAACAUCUCUCUUGUAAAACGGCAAACCAGAAAUCUAAUCCAGCAGAUGUGCUGCUUGUAGCAGCAAAUGAUGGUGAUGGUCUAGUGACUUGGCAUAAAAACUGUUGGGGGAAAAAGACAGCAUAACUCCAAAAGAGAGAGAGAGCCAGCUUAAUUACAAACCUGAGAGCUACUUCACUGCUCUGGAAUGCCUUUGCAAGUAAAGGAUACCCUGAGGAAUCCAGGAUCCCCUGCUACCAUCUGCAUGACUUUGGUUUCUGCUUCAGAUCCCUUCACUUUCUCAAAUGGCUGAUUUGAUUGGAAGAAAGCCAAACCAACUCAAGAAAGAAAAAUAAUUUUGCAGCUCAGACAGUCCAAGUAACUGUUCUUGAAUGGGAAUAAGUCAUCUGGUGGAAAACUGCUUAUUUCAGUACUGGGAACUCUUUCAAAUUAUUGCACUUUUCUUUUGGCUCCAAGCAGUCAUUAAAAAUAUAUCAUGCAACAUAUAACAUGAAGGGACUGGGCACACCCAGAAAGCUCCAGCUUGGUCCCAGUAUAUUUGAUUGUUGUAUCUGUAGAAUCAAACCAAUGUCCAUCUAGCACAAAGCCACACUGUAGAACAAACUAUGGAGGCUGCAUCACAUUUCACUGAGGAUCCCACAUUCUUGCUGUUACUUAAUACUAUUUCUUUGUAAUGUAGGGGGUUGGUCACUGUGCAUUUUAUUACUGAAUACUUCUUUCCUUCCCCUUUCUAGUAUGGUUCUCAGCCUUUCCAGGCAACUGUGAUAAUGAUAACCUUGGCAUUUAUAUGGCACUUCACAAGCUAACUACACCAGCACAAUCUUCUUGACCUCCCUUGCACUGAGGGGGAGGGACUGAGACUGACAGUUGGUUCACAUAUCUUUACCACAUUGUAAAAGCAUUAACUAGUGAAGCCCCAGAGCAAAGAGCAGCCCUACACAGUAGAAAUGAGAAACAUUUUUCCUAAUGAACAGAUGGGGAGAGUCUAAACUUUUCAAAUCUUCAUGCCUAAAAUUAGGGAUUGAACCUCAGAUUUUGGGCACCUGGAAAAAUGACCUGUAGUUCCUACUGAUGAAGUGCUGAUUUGGGUGUCUACCUUGAGGGAACCGAUGCUCAAAAGCCUGAGGUCAGUGAAGGGUCAGUGACAGUGACUAAUGCAGGUCCCUGUAGUGCUUAGUCCCAAGAACAAUCCAUUAAUGCAUGCUGCCUCUGCUCCAUCAACUGGCCAGAUCCUUGUAAAGCUUAUGUAACCCGGGUGGUAUGUGGCUGUUACCCCCUCUCCAAUUGAAGGGAUGUCAGUGGGUGAGUAUGCUGUGAGAUAGAGACUGCCUAGCUGCAGGCUAGCUCACCUCCCUUCCCUACAGAGCAGAGUCCAAGGACUCCCAGUGAUACUUGACUAGUUGAAGGUUUAAUUGUACAAAAUUACACCCCCCCCAUAUAUAGAUAUAGACACACAUACAUGUAUGUGUAUGCAUAUCUAUACGUAUACAUACAUUAUUUACAAAAUAUAGGUUCAUAAAGACAAUAACUGUUAUUAACCCUGAACUUAGGCAUCAGCCUUGAUCUGCUGUGGCCUUCCAGUCAGUAUGCUGCAGCCCUUCAACAGGGCUCUCCAGGCAGCAGGCAGGGAACACUCAAUCAUAAAACACAGGUUAGGCAAUAAAUCAACAAAUAAACAUCUGGCAGUGAUAGGACAAUAACUGAACAUACAGAGUGAAAUUACAUCAAAUGAGAUGCAGAUACAUAAAGAUAACCAAUACAAUGAAUUUAGAUAUACAGUUGAGGCUGUGCUAGCAGGCUGAAUACAGCAUUAAGGACACAAGGUUACAACAAGAAUCCCAACAACACAAGGAACCCAAACACAACAAUGACCCAGCAGUUGUGCCCGAAGAAGAAACGGCAUCUGGGGAAUGAUUUCGUUACCUAAAAGAGCACCAACACCCUCUCCUAGGGCACCCAUCUAGGAGGAGUCCUGUAACCGUGAAACCCCUCUUAACAAACAGGGGGCCCUGGAAUCCUGUCCACCCCAAGGAUGAAUCGUUCCCUUCCCUUCCUGUCAGGUGCUUCCCUUUGAUCACCCAAAAUGGGGAGUACCUCUCCUCCCCUGUGGGAUUCCCCUUUCCCAAGUAAGUCACGACUCCCAGCAGUUUUGAAGGGCUAGGCCCAUCUUUAUCCCUGGGUUGGAUGUGGGGCAUCCUCCCUCACUAGAGUGGUUGACCCAUCCAGUUGCCACUCACUGCAGGAAGGCCUGAGCUGCUUUGUGCAGCUACUGGGCCUAUCAGCCCGCUCUCAGCCCCAUGCACUGCCCUGUGCACUGGAGGGGGUGCCUGCCUUGUGCAGGGAAGUGGACCUGUGCUGCCUCAUGCAGCCCCAGCAACAUGGAUGACUGGUGCCUCCUGAGUCUGCAGGGGGCACAACUUGUGGGCGGGUCUGGGGGCAGUCCAAAAGCGCCAUAUCCACUCCUGCACAGGGGAAGGAGGCGA